rnacentral:rRNA from 1 species
ACGCUCGACACCUACGUGAGGCAGCAGUGGGGGAUAUUGCGCAAUGGGGGAAACCCUGACGCAGCAACGCCGCGUGAAGGACGAAGGUUUUCGGAUUGUAAACUUCUUUUGUUAGGGACGAAGAAAUGACGGUACCUGACGAAUAAGCUCCGGCUAACUACGUGCCAGCAGCCGCGGUAAUCUGAGCGGGCUGGCAAGGC